AUUGAACGCUGGCGGCAUGCCUUACACAUGCAAGUCGAACGGUAACAGGUCUUCGGAUGCUGACGAGUGGCGAACGGGUGAGUAAUACAUCGGAACGUGCCCAGACGUGGGGGAUAACGAGGCGAAAGCUUUGCUAAUACCGCAUACGAUCUAAGGAUGAAAGCAGGGGACCGCAAGGCCUUGUGCGUUUGGAGCGGCCGAUGGCAGAUUAGGUAGUUGGUGGGAUAAAAGCUUACCAAGCCGACGAUCUGUAGCUGGUCUGAGAGGACGACCAGCCACACUGGGACUGAGACACGGCCCAGACUCCUACGGGAGGCAGCAGUGGGGAAUUUUGGACAAUGGGCGAAAGCCUGAUACAGCAAUGCCGCGUGCAGGAUGAAGGCCUUCGGGUUGUAAACUGCUUUUGUACGGAACGAAAAGGCUCUGGCUAAUACCUGGGGCACAUGACGGUACCGUAAGAAUAAGCACCGGCUAACUACGU
rnacentral:rRNA from 1 species